ACUCCUGCGGGAGGCAGCAGUGGGGAAUAUUGGACAAUGGGCGCAAGCCUGAUCCAGCCAUGCCGCGUGAGUGAUGAAGGCCCUAGGGUUGUAAAGCUCUUUCACCGGAGAAGAUAAUGACGGUAUCCGGAGAAGAAGCCCCGGCUAACUUCGUGCCAGCAGCCGCGGUAAUACGAAGGGGGCUAGCGUUGUUCGGAAUUACUGGGCGUAAAGCGCACGUAGGCGGAUCGAUCAGUCAGGGGUGAAAUCCCAGGGCUCAACCCUGGAACUGCCUUUGAUACUGUCGAUCUGGAGUAUGGAAGAGGUGAGUGGAAUUCCGAGUGUAGAGGUGAAAUUCGUAGAUAUUCGGAGGAACACCAGUGGCGAAGGCGGCUCACUGGUCCAUUACUGACGCUGAGGUGCGAAAGCGUGGGGAGCAAACAGGAUUAGAUACCCUAGUAGUCC
rnacentral:rRNA from 1 species